UACGUAGGGUGCAAGCGUUGUCCGGAAUUAUUGGGCGUAAAGAGCGUGUAGGCGGCCCGAUUAGUCCGCUGUGAAAGUCCAGGGCUCAACCCUGGAAUGCCGGUGGAUACUGUCGGGCUAGAGUCCGGAAGGGGCGAGUGGAAUUCCUGGUGUAGCGGUGGAAUGCGCAGAUAUCAGGAAGAACACCCGUGGCGAAGGCGCUCUCUGGAACGCAACUGACGCUGAGACGCGAAAGCGUGGGGAGCAAACAGG
rnacentral:rRNA from 1 species